rnacentral:lncRNA from 1 species
GGAAGUAGGAGGCAGAGCGCGGACUACAACCCCCAGCACGCCGCGCCCCGGAAGCCGCCCCUGUGCCGUGAGAAAACAAACUGGUGCUACAGCUUCGGGGUGCGGAAGUCAAAACGAAGCAAAACCGAAGCUGUCUUGUGAAAUGGAGGGGUCCUCACUAACCAGUUCCAGCGGAGGCUAACGGAAGAAGUGCCAGCAAUGGAUGUGCAGCUACAUGCACGCUUUUAAUUCAGAGCUUCUGCGACGGUGGCGAUCAGGGGAUCUGUAAUGUAAUGUAAUGUCAAGGCUGACGCAGAGCUGAUCAAACAUUUUGGCAACCUUAGUCUUGAAUUGAUUCACACUUUCUCCGCGUUGCCUCCGGAGUUUGCUGUAGGGUAAUGAAUAUUGCCUGGUGAGGAUGAGGGACUUAGGGUGGAAACCUUCACAAGGACCACUGAGAAUAUGUUGGUCCCAAGGGCAAUGUUCCAAAAUGAAUAGUGACCCCACCGAGGCGGGGUUGGGGGCGCUGAGCAUAAGGGCCUCAUUUUUCUCACUGCUCUCUGCCCCAUCCUGAAUUUGCUGUUAAAAAACAACGUUAAAUGCAGAUACCAAUUCCACUUCCCCACUGUUGUCACUUCCGAUCUGUCUUUAUAUUUCUCCUUAUCAUUUAUCACCAUCUACAUACCAAUGUCUAUAUUUUACUUAUUUUUAUUGUCUAUUUCCUUCCACUAUGAUAUAAACUCACAAAGGCAGACGUUUUUGUCUCUUUUGUUCACUGUGGGAACCUCAAUGCCUUGAACAGUGCCUGUCAUCUAUAGGUAGUCAAAAAGUAUUUGUGGAAUAAAUGAAGUCCUGGUUUCACUUUUAUCUGGUUACAGGGUCCAGACUUCUCUUUCCUCGGAGUCUGGUGGACUUGGUUCUGCCUCAGCUUCCCAUGCAGACUUUUCUGCAAGAGAACGGAAAUCCCAGAAGAUGGAUGUGUGCAUGUCUGGUGACAAGGGCAGGGGAUGUAUGAUGUGAGCAGGUGCCUGUUUAAUCUAAUUUCUAGGAGAGCAAAGAUUCUAGGGAAGCUUUGGAGUGAAUUCAAAGGGUAGAGAACUGGGGAGAAACUAAAGCCAAGAGGAUCUAGUACAAAUGUGGGAAGCUUGGCAAAGCCCGGGUGAAACAGAAUAUAAUAAUAAGUGUGAUUUGUGGAUCUGUUUAAAAUUAUUAUUAUAGUUACAAUUUACCAAAUACUCUGUUCCCAGUACUUUACUAUAAAGUGCAUUAUGUACGGUAUGGUUUUGUUUUUCACAAUGUCCUUAUUUUACAUUGUGUAACUUGCUCAUGGAAUGACUGUGUAUCCCCUGAAUAGCAAACAUACUUAGUUCUGUCCCUGCAGAGCAGAGUAGAGCUCAAUACACAUCUUUGAACCAAAAGAGCCUCGGUUUGACUGAGAUUUUGUCGCUUACUAGUUGUGUGACCUCGGCAAUUUAUUUAAAUAAGCUCUGAUUUCCUCACCUGUAAAAUUGGGAUAACAGUUUGUCCUUAGCUCCCAAUGGCUGAGGGAAGAAUUAAGUAAUAUUGCGCAUAAAGCGCCAUGCGCAUUAAGCACUGAAAAUGUGAGCCAGGCCUGGGAAGACGAACAUGCUCAGAAGCGGCCAGCUCUAAGCGGCUGCUGCCUGGAAAAGUCCCUUUCCUAACAAAUUUCUUGCUAUUCCAAAUUUGUCCAGGAGAUGGAGGCACAGUCUUAACAGAAGCAGCCUUGCUAAAAGUAAAUUUGCCUAUUUAGUAGUGAGACAGCCAGAAUGAGGUCAAGAUAUUUAAGGCAGGAGAGAGGAGAGCUAGAAACCAUAUAAAAAUAUGAUUGUAUUCCAUUUCUGAUUCACCCAAUUUUCAACUAUUCCCGGGCUUCAUAUCAGUCCGUAUGUAACCACUGUUUAGCACUAUUAUGCCCACAAAUGGAUUCCUCAACACACAUCCAGUGGGACACAUCAUCUCCUCUAUGUCUACAAGUACUUAGACUUUCUCAAGCGAAGACACAGAAAUCCUAAACAGAAGCGAAUUCAUUCCCUCUGGGGGAACAUAAAUGCGUAUUGUCUUUACUUAGCCAAACUUCUGUCUCUAAGUUGGAGCUCAUGGGACAGCCUUUGAAAUCAUCUCUUCUGUCAUUUCCUCAUCUUUGAGACAAAAAACACAGUGGAAAUAAGGACAGUCCUUUCAGAUGUAUAAGGCCAGGCCCAUAUUAAUAUUUGUAUUGUUUGAAUAGUUUUAUUUUGGGAAAACUG